rnacentral:rRNA from 1 species
CAGCCGUAAACUAUGCGCGUUAGGUGUAUCGGUGACCACGAGUUACCGAGGUGCCGAAGGGAAACCGUGAAACGUGCCGCCUGGGAAGUACGGUCGCAAGGCUGAAACUUAAAGGAAUUGGCGGGGGAGCACCGCAACAGGUGGAGCCUGCGGUUUAAUUGGACUCAACGCCGGGAAGCUCACCGGAUAGGACAGCAGAAUGAUUGCCGGGCUGAAGACCCUGCAUGACUAGCUGAGAGGUGGUGCAUGGCGUCAGUGACU